rnacentral:lncRNA from 1 species
CACCAUAGGACAACAAGGUUCUCUGGGCAGGUCUGGGUGAAAGGCCUCCCGAAGAAGAGUUCCUGGAAAGCAGAGUCUACCCUGGAGGAGGUGGAAGGCGCAAAAGCUGGUGUUCCUCACUGCUGACCGGGAUUUAGAGAUAAGCUUCUUCCUUCAGGAGGGGACCCAGGUGCCUGUAACUCUGGCCAAGGAGAUAGGCAGCCAGGCUGCACGGAGACCGCAUAGUCACCACUGAUAUGCGCUUUGUCUAAGCCUGUGAGCGUCUCCUUGAAGCAGCCAAUCCUGCUGUUGCCAUGACACCUGGCCCUGGACAUCGUCUCUGCUGAAGCUCCAUGUAGGGUCUUCAAACAUGUCUCAUUGAAAUUUCGUUAUACUGGGAAAGAUGACAUCUUGAGCCUUCUACAGACAAACCAAGUUCCUGAUUGCUACAAGGGAGCAUGGAGUUCCAGGCUAAGAGGGAAAAGGCACAUGCAUCCACCCCAGCCUGGGCCCUGCCCAUGGUCUCCAUCUUGGAGAAUCUACGUGCUUUUUGAGUUCUCCUAAGGCAGUGGCACCUCGCUCCAGUACUCU